rnacentral:misc_RNA from 1 species
AACGCACAUUGCGCCCCCCGGCAUUCCGGGGGGCACGUCUGUCCGAGCGUCAUUGUCACACCCUCAAGCCCCGGCUUGUCGUUGAGGUCGCCCCCGCCUGGCUCAGCCUGCGGACGGCCUCCAAAGUGAACGGCGGUGGCCCCGCGGUGGUCUCCCGGCACAGCGAGCCCCUGUCGGCACGUGUCGCACGGAGAUCGUCGGGGCCCCCGGCCAUCCGCACCCCCCCCUUCAAGUUGACCUCGGAUCAGACGGGAAUACCCGCUGAACUUAA